rnacentral:rRNA from 1 species
AUUGAACGCUGGCGGCAGGCUUAACACAUGCAAGUCGAACGAGUGGCGGGCGGGUGAGUAAUGCUUGGGAAUCUCGCUUAUGGCGGGGGAUAACUACGGGAAACUGUAGCUAAUACCGCGUACCAUAGGAUGAGCCCAAGUGGGAUUAGGUAGUGGGUGAGGUAAAGGCUGCCCAAGCCCACGAUCCCUAGCUGGUCUGAGAGGAGGACCAGCCACACUGGGACUGAGACACGGCCCAGACGCCUACGGGAGGCAGCAGUGGGGAAUAUUGCGCAAUGGGGGAAAGCUGACGCAGCCAUGCCGCGUGAAUGAAGAAGGCCUUCGGGUUGUAAAGUUCUUUCGGUAGCGAGGCGUUAACUACAGAAGAAGCACCGGCUAACUCCGUGCCAGCAGCCGCGGUAAUAC